rnacentral:rRNA from 1 species
AUGAACGCUAGCUACAGGCUUAACACAUGCAAGUCGAGGGGCAGCAUGUUGUCAGCUUGCUGACAAUGAUGGCGACCGGCGCACGGGUGAGUAACACGUAUCCAACCUGCCCAUUACUGGAGGAUAACCUUGCGAAAGUAAGACUAAUACUCCAUGUGUCCUUUGAUGGCAUCAGAUUAGGACGAAAGAUUUAUCGGUAUUGGAUGGGGAUGCGUCUGAUUAGGUAGUUGGUGAGGUAACGGCUCACCAAGCCAUCGAUCAGUAGGGGUUCUGAGAGGAAGGUCCCCCACAUUGGAACUGAGACACGGUCCAAACUCCUACGGGAGGCAGCAGUGAGGAAUAUUGGUCAAUGGGCGGUAGCCUGAACCAGCCAAGUAGCGUGUAGGAAGACUGCCCUAUGGGUUGUAAACUACUUUUAUGCGGGGAUAAAGUGUGGGACGUGUCCCAUAUUGCAGGUACCGCAUGAAUAAGGACCGGCUAAUUCCGUGCC